rnacentral:lncRNA from 10 species
GUGAGUGUGGACGCCACUGGCGGGGGUGCCGCGGUGCGCGAGCGCUCGGCCAGCGGCAGAGACGCCGCGGGAGCCGCCCCCAGCGCCAACGCCGCCGCGGGCGGGAAGGGCGAGGCUCGGCGAGGCUGGGCGAGGAGCUGGGCGGCAGACGCUGAGCGGGGCGCGGCGCGGGGCGCCGGACGAGCGCGGGCGUAGGAGGAGCGCGGGCGUAGGAGUCGGCGACCCGCUCGCUCCCGCGGCCGGUGCCUCUGGGCUGGGGGCCGGGCUGGGGGCCGGGCCGGGCCGGGCCGGGCCGGGCGGCCAGGCGGCUCCGCCCCUUCGCCGGGCAGCGGCUGAGCGCGCGAGAGGAGCGGCGCGGGGGCGCCCCCCUCGGCCGGGCGCUCGGGUUUCAGCCGCCGCUCCUCCGCGCCCCGCCCGCGCCUGGCCCGCUCGCCGGCGCCGGGAGAGACCUCGUAACGGAACUGGGACGCCAGCGCUGCAUUGUGGGAGCUUUUAAAGCGGCGGGGAGCUCGGCGCGACCCUCGGGCCCACCGGGCCACGCUCGCCCGGCCCGCGACGCCCCCCCGCUGUCGCCUGGCCCGCGACGCACCGAGGCCUGAGGACCCGAAAGCCGGGCGCGGGGAGAUGACCGGUGGCUCGUGACGGUCCCACGGGCAAAAUCUUCCAUCGCCCGGGGCUGAGACUUGUCAAACUGCCCUCUACGGUCACCCGGAAAGUAGGAGGCUUUUUCUGCAGAGGGGAAAAAAAUCAAAAAGAGCCGUUCCAUCCCCCCUCCAAGGACUGGGUUUGAAUUGCUUUUCAUCUGCAGUGGCUGUGAUUCAGCGUCCCUCUUAGCAGCAGGCAAUGACAGAGGCAGGAGAGGGGAAAAAAAAAAAGAAAGAAAGAAAAAACACAGCAAAUGAAUCAAACGGACGUAGCAGGCAAGAGUGUGGUUAUCGUUGGACCAGGAUUCAGGAUCUGACUGAGUAGCUGACUCUUAAUCCAGUUUGUGUUGAUCACCAGGAGGAUCUGGACCUCAGUAUUACCACAUCUAGAGCUAUAAUCACAUCCCUGUUAAGCCUUCCUGAGAUCACACCAAAUGUCCUUGAUGGGAAUUGUAAACAACCCUUACUUCUGGUUUCUAAUGAUAUUCCAGGAAAGGAGCCUAACUAGAGUCAGUGAUAUGCCAACUCCACCUUUGCCUUCCACCAUGUUUGGAAGCUCCCUGAGGCCUCACCAGGAGCAGAUGCUCGUCCCAUGCUUCCUAUAAGCCUGCAGAACUGUGAGCCAUAAUAAACUGUGAAUUAUAAAUUGCCUUUAUAGCAAUGCAAAUGGACCAGUACAGAUGGGAUGCUGGGAAGACAGUUGUUUCCACCUUCAGUAAAGUCCGUGGAACACAGUUGUGACUAUAUUCUAGGCCAGCCAAGAUGCUUGUACUCAGAAAGGAGUGGUCUCAGGACCAUAAGAAAGUGAAAAAAUAAAAAUAAGAAAAUAAAGAAGGGAUUGUCAAUGAAUCAGAAUUCAUCAAGGUCAAAGUCUUAGGAAAUUCCUUCAUGAGGAAGUCUAGGGGGGCUAUGGAAAUGAAAUUUUUAAACAAAUAGGUAUGUGGUGCUGGCAGGAAUAAAUUAUGGACUUAUGAAUAUAACAUAAGAUUCUUUAUUACCUGGUCUCACCCGUCUUUCCACCUCUGCCCCCCUUCUUGCCCGACUCUGUGUAUCACCCAUAAUAAACUACUUACAGCUUCCUAGUGUUAAAUUUACCCUAAAGCUGCCUCCUUCAAUAUUUUAAGUUUAACCUAAAGGUUCUUCAUACAUAGUGAACUAUAACCCAAUGAUUAAACAGAUUGUAACCUACUCUUGUACCAGUCACCAAGUUUCAGCCAAUCAGAGGUGGCCAACUGUUCAAACCAUGCUCAAAUAAGGGAAAUGUCAUGGUGUAACUAAUCCAGCUGUUUCUAUACCUUACUUCUGUUUUCUUAGGUCACUUUCCUUUUUUGUCCAUAAAUUCUCUCCAACCACUCAGCAGCACUGGAGUCACUCCAAAGCUAUCCUGGUUCAGGGGUCUGUCUGAUUCACAAGUCAUUCUUUGUUCAAUUGAGCUCUGCUAAAUUUAAUUUGUCUGAAGUUUUUCUUUUAACAGAUGGUGUCAGAAAUGGACCCCAAAGUAGAGCUCCCAGUGAUCCCCCAGGAGCACUGAGUGACCACAAGGGGUACCUGCUGGGCCCGUCCUCUCGCAGUGUCCACUGCUCUCUUACAGCAACUGGAGAUUGUGGCUGCAUUCUCUCUCAGAUUCUGAAGCUCCAUACAUUGCCGUUUUCAGCUGUUCAAGCUUGCUUGAGCAAAUUUUUGAUCUUAGCUGAGUUUGGAAGUCGAUAGACAUUGGACUGGGUCCAGGAUUUGAUUGGAUCUGAUAAUUAACUGGCUUGGAUCCAGUUAGAUGCCUCGGUUAUCUGACUGGGUCAGAUAGAAACCGCCAGUAAAUAUUUUAAUAACAAUACUGCAGGGGUAUGAACUCUGGCUUUAAGAAACUCACAAGGAAUUUUAUGUUCUAUACCCUUUGUUUCUUUUUCUUGUGUGCUUCGGUCAGGAAAAAUCAUUAGUCAAGUUAAUCAAGGGGAUCUGAGAGCCAAAUACAAGAUUCAACGUAAAAAUGGAAUCCUUGGGCUAGGCGUGGUGGCUCAGGCCUGUAAUCCCAGGACUUUGGGAGGCUGAGGCAGGCGGAUCACCUGACCUUAGGAGUUCGAGACCAGUCUGGCCAACAUGGUGAAACCCCGUCUCCACUAAAAAUACAAAAAUUAGCCAGGCGUGGUGGUGGGCACCUGUAAUCCCAGCUACUUUGGAGGCUGAGGCAGGAUAAUCACUUGAACCCAGGAGGCAGAGGUUGCAGUGAUCUGAGAUUGCACCACUGCACUCCAGCCUGGGCAAAAGAGCGAGACUCCAUCUCAUAAAUAAAUACAUAAAUAAAUAAAGAAAUCCUUAAUUUCUGCGGAACUGAGUGCUCUACCUUCUGGCUACACCUACGUAUACCUGUAUGAGGUAUAGGCCCUGGAAGCAGCAAACACUUACAGAAAUGGUGAAAUCUUACUAAAGGGAAAAGAAAGCUGGAUAAAGUAUUUAUAGAAGAUAGAGGACCUGUGGUGGCUCAUGCCUGUAAUCCAAGGUGGAAGGAUUGCUUGAGGCCAGAAGUUCAAGACCAGUCCAAGCAACAUAGCAAGGCCCCAUCUCUACAAAAAAUGAAAAUAAAAUUAGCCGAGCGUGAUGGCUCAUGCCUGUAGUUCUAGCUUCUAGAGAGGCUGAGGCAGGAGGAUUGCUUGAGUCCAGGAGUUCAAGAUUACAGUGAGCUAUGGUCACACCACUGCACUCCAGCCUGGGUGAUGGAGUGAGACUGUCUCAAUAAAAAGACAAAAAGGCUGGCCAGGGGCAGUGGUUCAUGCCUGUAAACCCAGCACUUUGGGAGGCAAAGGCAGGAGGAUUGCUUAAGCCCAGGAAUUUGAGAUCAGCCUGGACAACAUGGUCAAGGAAGCUUUUCCUGAUCCACUAACUAAGGACAAUCAAACCCUUCAUGAUCUAGAAUCUGGAGACUGUGUCUUCUGGGAAUAGUAUCAGAGAAAGACUGCCCUUACUGCCCACAUGUAGCAAAACUUUGAGACGUUGAAUUAUGGGUCCAUAAUCUCACAACUCAGAGGGGCACCUCUAGACUCUUGGAACUGUAUAUCUAUUGGAGACUUUAAGGUAAAGCUGAACAGAGAGACGUUUUUCUCCAGAAGCAGACAGCACCAUAGUCAUGGACAGCUUUCCCAAGAUCACAGAUCAAGACUUCUCUGCCGUCAUGAGACUCAUAACCUCUUAAUUUUUUCUUGCUUAUGCUUCUGUGAACAAUAGAAUUGGAAAAGGGGUGGUCCCGCGUGCACCCAUAGGGUAUACUUUUAUUUGUGGAGGAUUUUGCUGCCAACCUUAUACAUGGGCAAACUUAUGCCUUCAUGGAUGGAAGAUAAAGGGCUAAUAUGGGUUAGAAAUUUUAAUGGUACCUUUGUUUCUCCAUAAUCAUUCAGAAACAGAACACUGGUCCACUCUUGUUAACCUACAUCAUAGGUUGAAGAGAACAUUGCCAGGAGGCCUUCAUCCUUCCAGAUGGGCACCAUUUGUUGGGUCUUUUUCCGUGGUAUGAAGAAAAUGAAGCAAUGAUUAGAAAUUGGUCCCUCGGCCGGGCACAAUGGCUCAUGCCUGUAAUCCCAUCACUUUGGCAGGCCGAGGCGGGUGGAUCACCUGAGGUCAGGAGUUUGAGACCAGCCUGACCAAUGUGGUGAAACGCCAUCUCUACUAAAAAUACAAAAAUUAGCUGGGUGUGAUGGUGCACACCUGUAAUCCAGCUACUCGGGAGGCUGAGACAGGAGAAUUGCUUGAACCUGGGAGGCAGAGGUUGCAGUGAGCCAAGAUCACCCCACUGCAUUCCAGGUUGGGCAACAGAGCAAGACUCUGUCUCAAAAAAAAAAGAAGAAAGAAAGAAAUUGAUCCCUCAUAAUAGGCUGUAUAGCAGAUUCUACUGCAAAGGCUAUGGUUGCACAACAGACUUCUUUGAAUUUGCUUGCUAAACUUUUACUGGAUAAUACUGGGAUUACAGGUGUGAGCCACUGUGCCCAGCCUCUCCUGUUUAACUGUAUUCAUUCUAAUGUUUACUUACUUCUUUAAUUUGUAAAAUUGGGUCACUUAGAGUUUUUUUAGCCUAUCUUGCCAUUUAGCCACUGUUACUGAUAAUUUGGAUGGAAAAGAAAAAUAAAUUAUAUCACCUCUCAUCUUCAGUGUAUAUAUGUGUUAACUUAGUAAAUAUAGUAUUCUUUCUCGUUCCUAAUGAAAAUUUAGUUUACGUACUGAAACACUGCAAACUUUUAUAAAUAUUGUGAUGUAUUUGACCAAUACAAAGGAUCUUUUUAGAAACAGCAAACAGUUCUCAGAUUAUAGGAAUUACUCAUUUAAUGAUAGUUUCUUCUU